GGGUUCGUAGCUCAACGGUAGAGCAGCAGCCUUUUAAGCUGUUGGUUGAGGGUUCGAUUCCCUCCGAACUCA
rnacentral:tRNA from 3 species